UACAGAGGGGGCAAGCGUUAUUCGGAAUUAUUGGGCGUAAAGGGCGCGUAGGCGGCGGGUUAAGUCGGGGGUGAAAUCUCAGAGCUCAACUCUGAAACUGCACUCGAUACUGCUCUGCUUGAGGACUGGAGAGGAGACUGGAAUUCACGGUGUAGCAGUGAAAUGCGUAGAUAUCGGGAGGAAGACCAGUGGCGAAGGCGGGUCUCUGGACAGUACCUGACGCUGAGGCGCGAAGGCCAGGGGAGCAAACGGG
rnacentral:rRNA from 1 species